GUGGCUGAUAAUGAAUGUCAAUUCUGAAGUCAGAGUUCAUGUGUGUGCGGCAGGACGGGGAGAAGAAAGGCAUCAGCCCGGAGGAGGUGUACACCAGCCUGAGCGUGUCCCAGGACCCUCAGCCCUGGAGGUGGAUGAAGUCCGACCUGCCCCGGAUCUGGCUCAGAUCCAGAACCUGGUCUGCACCGCGUCUCUGCAGAGCGACUUCAGCCGCAGCAGCGCCGACACCAACAAAGACCGGUCGAGUGAGAAGGGGAUCCCAGAUUUCUAAUCAGAGGCGAAGCAGGCCUGGCUGA
rnacentral:lncRNA from 1 species